rnacentral:lncRNA from 1 species
UCUGUCCCCACAGAGACCUGCCCGUGGGAAGGAGGCUGGUUCUAGUACCAUCUCUCCAGUUUGGUGAUCAAUGAGUUAUAAACUAGAGAUACAGUAGAACACAUCAAUGAAACUAGAAGCUGGUUCUUUGAAAGAAUUAAUAAG